rnacentral:misc_RNA from 1 species
AACGCACAUUGCGCCCUCUGGUAUUCCGGGGGGCAUGCCUGUCCGAGCGUCAUUACAACCCUCAAGCCUAGCUUGGUGUUGGGCUCCGCCGCCUGGCGGGCCUUAAAGUUAGUGGCGGUGCCGUCCAGCUCUGAGCGUAGUAACUUUUCUCGCUCUGGAGGCCUGGGCGUGUGCUUGCCAGCAACCCCCAAUUUUAUCAGGUUGACCUCGGAUCAGGUAGGGAUACCCGCUGAACUUAA